AGUGAACGCUGGCGGUAGGCCUAACGCAUGCAAGUCGAACGGCAGCACAGUAAGAGCUUGCUCUUACGGGUGGCGAGUGGCGGACGGGUGAGGAAUACAUCGGAAUCUACUUUUUCGUGGGGGAUAACGUAGGGAAACUUACGCUAAUACCGCAUACGACCAACGGGUGAAAGCAGGGGAUCUUCGGACCUUGCGCGAUUGAAUGAGCCGAUGUCGGAUUAGCUAGUUGGCGGGGUAAAGGCCCACCAAGGCGACGCUCCGUAGCUGGUCUGAGGGGAUGAUCAGCCACACUGGAGCUGAGACACGGUCCAGACUCCUACGGGAGGAAGCAGUGGGGAAUAUUGGACAAUGGGCGCAAGCCGGAUCCAGCCAUACCGCGUGGGUGAAGAAGGCCUUCGGGUUGUAAAGCCCUUUUGUUGGGAAAGAAAAGCAGCAGGUUAAUACCCCGCUGUUCUGACGGUACCCAAAGAAUAAGCACCGGCUAACUUCGUG
rnacentral:rRNA from 1 species